rnacentral:tRNA from 1 species
GUACCUAUAGUAUAUUGUGUAUAUCCGCCUUCCAAGCGGAUGGUCGGCUGGUGCCGUGGGUAUA